rnacentral:lncRNA from 1 species
AUGAAGGAGGACUCUGGGUCCACACCAAGCGACCACCGCGUCUGGCUCAGCUGCCCAGCCCCCGGCAGAAACUCCUCGGAAGUCUGCAAAACACGGCCGCGGCUUCUCUUGAACAUCAGCAGGGCGUUCCAGUCUGCGUCUUUACAUUUUUCUCAUUUCGGGGAGGGAUCUGAGGCCUCCUUCCACCACCAUCUCCGCGCACACAGCCCACGCCUUGUAAGUAACGUGCUCCGUCAGCUAAGACCCUCUGAAUACUUCUUCACCAUGCGCGUCGAUGGCUAGGGUUUGAGGAGUCAUUCCCCCCAACCCCCUGUGAACGGUAACAAGGGGCAAACAUAUUUUUCUUAUGAUAAAGUCGAUGGUAUGUCUCUGGGAAAUGUGGAGAUAAAGAAGGCCCAGCUCCUUUGUCUGAAGAAGGGAAAACUAACAGCCACUUCAGGUUCCAUGGCUUGAAUUCAUUAAGACAAUGAAUAUCCGCAAAGCCUUUCGAUCAGUGCCGGAGGAGAUCAGUGAGUGAGGCUUAGGCUUUCUUUAUCAGAAUAAAAGUUGUCACUCGUAUUCCUGUUACA